rnacentral:lncRNA from 1 species
CCAGUACAAUAGUGUGUACGCAGCCUUACCCCUACCCUGAGGUAGAGAGGCUGUUUCCAAAUAGACCCCCGGCAUAAAUCCCCAGAAUCUGCUCCUGGGGAGACUCGAACUCACAACCUCUCGAUUGUAAGUGAGGGUUGGUUACCAUCAGACCAAGCCCCUCUUGUCAAUGAUCCUAUACAUAAAUUAAACGAAAAUUGAAUUUAAAAGUCAUUAUAACAGUCCAUUUGUACUACUGAAAGUCCACGAAUUUACAUAAUUUUCAUGAAUACAAUUAUAUAUCUAGAGAAAAUGUUAAGACAAAGAACUAACUUCCUUCCUAAUUUGAUGUCUCCCAGCUAUUACAAAAUCUUUCAAAAAGACAACUUCAACCUGCAAAAAAUUAACUAUAGAGCUGUUUCUUGCAGACUAUCAUUUGAUUCUAACUCUGAAGCUUCUUAAUGUUCAUCAUGCUUUUGUUAUAGCCUAGACUUUCAUGGAUCUUACCAUGUGAAAAGGUCAAACUCACAAAAAUGUCUUCAAAUGUAUGGACCUACAUUAUUAUCAAAUCAAUCUUAAAUAACCUAAUACAAGAAUGAGUAAAAGGAAAAACAAUGUCAUUCAUGAGUCUAACCAUGUUUAAGGUGAGCCUCACAAACGAACAAAGACUUCCAAACCAUGAUCCUAAUUUAAGUUCUCAUCUUAGUAAAGAAGAAAGGAAGGGGAAAGAAAACAAACUUAGAAAUAUACUAGAUGAGUUAAGAAUAUAUGCACUAUUAAGGAGUGAAUCUGACCAUUUAAAAGGUCAGAUUCAUUUCCUUUAGUGCUGCUAUCAAAAGGGGAAUUUUGAAUAUAGUUCUAUAGUAUAUAGACAUACUGAUUGAGCCAUCGAACAUUGACAUAUACAACACAAUUAUUUUAGAUUUCAUGAUCAAAUGCAACAGUCGUUUAAGGUAAUAUCAACACAGAGUUUAUAGACAUUAAUCAACCCUAAAUUCACAAAAUUAUGGAUUCUAAAACUAACAACAAAGUUGCCAAAUAAAAAAAAAGGUUUUAAACAAAAAUUUUAAACUCAAAGUUAAUUCUAUCUAGGAUGCGCAUUGUACAUGCCUUGAAAUUGAAAACACAAACAGAGAAAUGACCAUAUAAAGGUCAAGGAGAAAAGAACCAAGAAGCUUCAGCAACCAAACAAAGCAAUAAACAGCAACCAAAUAAAUCUCAGAAGAAGUAUUUUAAGCUUCAAAGCAUUUUUUACUGAUGAAAACUAGAAAUCUUCAAAGAAGUUCUUCAAUUUUUGCUAAUAAUCAAGGGAAAAGACAACUGAAAUAUUUUUAGAGUGUAUUCCUUAGGGUUUUUUAAAUCUGUCCUCUUUUUUUUAGGAAUAG